CCCAACACACGUGCCAGCCCCAGGGAGACCCCAGCAGCGUCCCCGCGCCCUGGGCUGUCAGUGAGCGCAGGGAUGGGGAGGCCGCGGGGGCUGUCCUGGGUGAUCCAGCUAAUGCACCUGUGGGUGGCCAGCGGGCAGCUCUCUGUGGAGCAGAGCCCGGAAUGGCUGGAUGUCUCGGAGGGGCAGAAUGGCACCGUGACCUGCACUUACUCCAGCACUAUCCAAAGUUUACACUGGUACCGGCAGGCUCCAGGGGAGCGGCCCGUUUUCCUGCUGAUGCUGUUCGGCAAGGGGAGCAAGACACAAGAACCGAAUUUCACUGCGGAUCACGAUCCGGGGCAGAAGCGGAGCUCCCUGCACAUCCGCGGCUGCCAGCUGGGGGACGCCGCCCGCUACCUCUGCGCCGUGUAG